rnacentral:rRNA from 1 species
ACAUUGAGCCUUGAUGUGUAGGAUAGGUGGGAGGCUUUGAAGUGUGGACGCCAGUCUGCAUGGAGCCGACCUUGAAAUACCACCCUUUAAUGUUUGAUGUUCUAACGUUGACCCGUAAUCCGGGUUGCGGACAGUGUCUGGUGGGUAGUUUGACUGGGGCGGUCUCCUCCUAAAGAGUAACGGAGGAGCACGAAGGUUGGCUAAUCCUGGUCGGACAUCAGGAGGUUAGUGCAAUGGCAUAAGCCAGCUUGACUGCGAGCGUGACGGCGCGAGCAGGUGCGAAAGCAGGUCAUAGUGAUCCGGUGGUUCUGAAUGGAAGGGCCAUCGCUCAACGGAUAAAAGGUACUCCGGGGAUAACAGGCUGAUACCGCCCAAGAGUUCAUAUCGACGGCGGUGUUUGGCACCUCGAUGUCGGCUCAUCACAUCCUGGGGCUGAAGUAGGUCCCAAGGGUAUGGCUGUUCGCCAUUUAAAGUGGUACGCGAGCUGGGUUUAGAACGUCGUGAGACAGUUCGGUCCCUA